rnacentral:rRNA from 1 species
AAAUGAAUUGACGGGGGCCCGCACAAGCGGUGGAGUAUGUGGUUUAAUUCGAAGCAACGCGCAGAACCUUACCUGGCCUUGACAUCUUAGGAACCCGGAUGAAAGUUUGGGGUGCUCGCAAGAGAGCCUAAAGACAGGUGCUGCAUGGCUGUCGUCAGCUCGUGUCGUGAGAUGUUGGGUUAAGUCCCGCAACGAGCGCAACCCUCGUUGUCAGUUGCGACCAUUAAGUUGAGCACUCUGACAAGACUGCCUGUGUUAAGCAGGAGGAAGGUGGGGAUGACGUCAAGUCCUCAUGGCCCUUACGGCCAGGGCUACACACGUACUACAAUGGCCGAUACAAAGUGUUGCGACCUCGCGAGAGCAAGCCAAUCACAAAAAAUCGGCCUCAGUUCAGAUUGCAGUCUGCAACUCGACUGCAUGAAGGUGGAAUCGCUAGUAAUCGUGGAUCAGCAUGCCACGGUGAAUACGUUCCCGGGCCUUGUACACACCGCCCGU